CAAGCUGUAACGAUGAGUGUCAUUCUCACUCGUAAUGAAGGGGUCGAGGGUUCAAGUCCCUUUUCCAGCUUGA
rnacentral:tRNA from 1 species